UACGAAGGGGGCUAGCGUUGUUCGGAAUUACUGGGCGUAAAGGGCGCGUCGGCGGCGCGUUAAGUCAGGUGUGAAAGCCCUGGGCUCAACCCAGGAAUUGCACUUGAUACUGACGUGCUUGAAUCCGGAAGAGGAUGACGGAAUUCCCAGUGUAGAGGUGAAAUUCAUUGAUAUUGGGAAGAACACCAGUGGCGAAGGCGGUCAUCUGGUCCGGUAUUGACGCUGAGGCGCGAAAGCGUGGGGAGCAAACAGG
rnacentral:rRNA from 1 species